rnacentral:lncRNA from 7 species
GGGGGAGGGGUUGCGUGAGGCACUGCGUUGAGAGUGCGAUUUGGCGGCACCGCCGCUCCACACGAAAGCUUUGGUGAAGAUUCAGCAGGCACAUGGCAUCAAAGUAUCAAAGGAAUAAAACGUUAAUACUUGGAAAUGUUGGGGUACUUUAAAAAGUAUUUAUCCCAAUUACUACUUUCAGAAAACAUGUUCGCUAAGGAUUCAGCAUUUCCUGUUCCUUCAGCUGAUUGGUCUUCUAUAACAGCAGAGGACAAACACAAAUGAGCAACUUAAAGAAAAAAACAGAGUUAAUGGAUACUAGAAUUAAGUGAAAGCAGGAGAAAAUGAGGGAGAUACGUCAAAUGUAAUUUUCUAACUUGUACACUGGCCAGCUAUGCUGGCAGAGGAAGAUGUCUGCUUUGUGCUUCCAGUACUGAAAAUGAAGCAGUGUGCACAUAAAAGUUAUUGGCAGCUGUGCUGAGGCCAGAGGUCGUGCAGCUCUUCAGGCAAGAUUUUAUUUACCUUUUAACCUCCCCAUUUCACCAGCUCGGUCAGAGAUACCAUACUCAACAGCAGCAGGAGCUUGCACACAACAGUUUGAGUCACCUAUAGCUGAACCUAAAUAAAAUAGGUAUGUGAAAGCAAUUACAGUAUUUUAUUGUUACAGCUCCACCUUCAUCAUCAGGACAGCGUUAGAAUUUUACAUUGAGACACAGGGAAACUGCUAAAAGCUCUCUCCACUUUCCAACGUUUAAGUGUACACUGGAGUUUCCAUUGCUCCUAGGGCAGCCACACUUUGACAUGCAGCAUUUGUUUGUGUACUUUUUUUAUGUCACCCAGCCCCAUUGCAAUAGAAUAAUCAGGCUUGGAAGAAAAAAGAGGGCUGGGACACAAAUCUCCCAUCCCCUCUAUUCCUCAGGAACUGUGAAUAUGUACGUGCCCUUGCAAUUAGGGAAUAAGGAAGCUGUGCAUAUCUGGUAAUACCACACAAGCAGGACUAAUGCUAUUGCUGGAAAAGCUCCCACCUGUCUUGUCUAUUUCAAACUCCUACUAAGAUAACGGGAAUAUGUGAUUUUUUUCCUCCCAAUUAUUACUAUUUUUUUUUUCUGGGAGUUGUAGCUGUGUAGUAAUUUAAGAUGGCAGGUUUCCAAGGCUUUGCAGUGAUUCUAAUUAAUUGGGUAUGUUGUUUAAUUUUUAUUUUAACUUGGGCUUUUUCCUCAUAUUCAAAAGGGCUCCUAUUAUCCUUUAUUAUGAAGGAGAUCAAAGCAAGCAGAAUGGCUGCCAUUUUGCCUUAGUCUGUGGAAGCAACACUGUUGUCUGUGAAAAGGUGCACUGCUGUCCACACCUGUCAGGACUGAAAGCAAUACUACAGGUGGAGUAGCCGUGCUUCUUUGGUCUGGUGAGCUGGGCACAGACUGCGAGCAGCAGUGAUGGUCUGCAAGAAGAAUGUGUGAGAAGACAAGGAGCCGGGUCUGGCAAACGCGGUGAAGUGUAACUGGACAAUGGGGUAAAAGAGUGCAGACUGAAGAGCAGAAAAUCUGGAGGUGGAAAGAUCCGCUUCCUUUGCUGGUGUGGAAAAUCAUGCCUCCUUCAGGCAGACUGAGGAGAGAGAACCCACAAAAAUUGCCAUAGUCAGGGAGCUGGAGCUACAAUUGGACUGCUUAAAUUCUCCCUCAUGUUGGAUGGUGGUUACACUAUUGCCCCUUUCACAGGCUUCCUUUCCUCCACAACUUCUCAAAACUGGUGUUUGAUGGGGAAGCAUAACAUCUGCAUUUUUUAUUUUAAAACAAGUGCAUAACAAGACUGCUUAUUGCCACCUGCAGAGGAACCAGAGUCAAUUACAGUAGAACUUGAGGACAGAAAGUGAGAAUAAUGCAGGAAGGGAGCAUCAUAAGAAAGCAAGCUAGAGGAGGAAAACAACUGCAAGACUGCACAACAUUAGGACC